CACGAAAAACAUGUUGCAUAAAUUCAACUCACAUCUUUUAUUAAAGAUUCUCAUCUGACAGAUAUUAGUGAAGCAGUCCAUUAAACUAUAAUUUUAAGUACAAAAAUAAGCAGGUGAUUUUAUAAUCUGAAAAAGAUUUUACAUUUUCUUAAAAAAAUGACUACCAUUCUCCUUAAGAAACAUCAUUUAGGUUUUAUUAACAUGAAGCCAAAAUGUUAGCACCAUUUAUAUGCACAGUAAGACCAUUAAUUUCAAAUUUAUCAUUUUUAUCUUUAGUAAAUCAAUCUUUUCCACUUUCUGUCAAUUAUUUUCCGACUUUCGAAAAUUGAUUAAUGUAAGACAUUUGAAACUAAGUGUAAAAUUUAAUCAAAUUUAAUUAAAUUUGAUUUUAAUUAAACCACUCUUGUUUUUUGCCCAGUAAAUAUUAUGGCGUCUAACAGAAACUGCACAUAAAUAAAACAUUAACUUUACCUGUUUUGUACACAAGGGUUCCAUUGCUAAAAGGAUUUUGAAAAAUGGUGAAGUUGAGGUCUUAAAGCACUGGCGAUAUGCAUAAAACCACGCAUACGGUUACAGCAGGCCUAGCUUACAACCCAGGCUGUGGUCCAGUCCAGGGUCUGGUUUACAAUACCACUCUGCUCACACGAAGCCUUCCUGAGUCCCCCCACUGGAAAUAAUACCAUUUUCUUCUAAUUCUCACUGCAUUUUGUUUGUAUCUUUUUAAAACAAUCAUCUGAGUAUAGAUGAUCGAUGCUCAUCUAAGCAUUGUUCAAAAGCAGUGAAAUAUCAAGUAAUAAACUAAAAGAGUAGUUAAUCUUUUUUACCCACAAUGAUUGAUGAGAAUUCUAUCAAAAUCAUUCAACCUUGCACUGGAGUCUGCAACUGGCAUAGCAUUAGUUAAUUAAUUCUUAUUAAUCAUCUUGAUCUCUCUUCAUAAUGCUCCCAAAUGCAGUGUUAGAUGAAGAAAAAAAGGAAGAAAAGAAACAAAACCUAAGAGAAGCUUAUUUACUCAUAAAUUAAAAACUAUUUUUGUAUUCCUUCCCAUCCCAAUUAAAAUGAUUCUAAAAACAAACAAAAAUGAUCCAACACUGUUUUCUAAUUAUCAAUGUAAUAGGCUUGAUAUAGCAUAGUAUCUAGGAUACACAAAAGCAUCAAGAAUCAGAAAAAUAUCAACCAUAAUGCUAUUGCCUUACAAUAACCUGUAAUGUUAUAUUUUCUUCCAUACUUUCUAAACAUAGUUGAGAUCAUAUUAGGUGGAACAGUUUGAAUCCUUCUUUUCCUCCACUUAACACGUCGCAAUCACUAUUUCCCCAUGUUAUUAAACUCUCCUUAUAAAAAAAUUUUAAUGGCACAUGUUUCAGCAUGCAAUUUAACAAAUUCCUUAGUAUACUGGUCCUUAACAGAUGGAUACUGAAUGUAUUUCUUAAAUGAAUUAACACAGGACUUCCAACACUUAUUUUUACAACUGAACUGUAUUCAAUGUAGGGCUUAGAAAGCAUCUGGGGGGGGGGGGGAAGCAAAACCUUAUAAUAAACACUUAAAGAAAAUGUAGGAUAUAUUCCAACAGGUCAAAACGCCAAUCAGUCCUCUUUAUUGAUCCUAUCACAUUAACCAUAAACUGUUUAUUUAGGGGAAAAAAGGAACAGGACUAUCAGCCACUCAGAGUACAGAUAAAAGUAUCCUACCAACCAUUAGCUAUGUUAUUUUCAUCUUCUCCACACAAAAAUUUUGAACAAGAGAGGCACAAACCAUAAAGAAAGCCUAACACAUUCAACUAAAAUUUUAAAUUCUUAUGAGACCAACUUAAGAAUCCAUAAAAAAGGUGAAAGGUUUAAUGACACAUGGGCAAAGGAUUAAUAUUCUUUAAAAGAACUUUCACAAAAGCCAGUAGCAAAACGUAUGAAGGAUGCUGAAAAUUUUAUAUAAAAUAAAAUGACCAAAAAUCUAUGAAGACGUUCAAAGUCAGUAGUAAACAAACAAACAAAAAAAAUGUAACUAUACAGGUGAGGUAUCACUUUUCACCCAGGGGUCAGCUGAGACUUAAAAAAUUCAAAUGGGUGUUACUUGAAAUAAGCAAUGAUGUGUUCCUGAAACUUAAAAACUUGCUCAUCAAAAGCCAUUUUCUUACAGAUAAUGACGAAAUGGGAAUUCAGUCACACCUGGGAAAGAGUACAAUCUAUAUUAUUAAACUGAAUAUAAACUUCUGUAAGACAAUGAACCUUUAACAGAAAAGUCAAAGGACUAGCACUGAAGGCUGACAUGCUUGCAGGAAAGCAUCACCAAGGAGGAAGACAGGUCAUCCGACGCUAGAUGAUAACAAGUGUUGGGGUAUCCUUCCCCAAUAUUAAAAAAGGUCAGCUGGAAAUACAUGUUUAUAGGUUUUUCCCUCUAUACUUCCAAAAAGUACUGAUUAGCACAUGUUGGAUCCAUUGCAAGCAGGUUAACAAGUAAGCUCUGCACAACAGGUUAAAGGCUAAAGAUCCCAGAGGCCUGCAUUUUGCUGACUGGGGAAGACUGGUGAACAUACACGUAUGCACAGCAGAAAUGCCCGGGCAGAGUGGCGGUGGCCUGCGAACAGUGAGGAGCAGGUGACUGUAGCAUAAACUAUUUUAAUGUAAAGAUGGCCCAUGUGUUGGAGUGAAGAACUGACCAGGACGUGGGCGGGCUUUGGGGAAGACAAUUGGGCAACAUGCCACUAACGUCUUUUACUUUGAUACAGAAAUUCAACUUGUAGGCUAAAUGAAAACUAAAUUUAAGUAUUAACUGCAGUAUUGUUUUUAAUGGCAGGAAGCAACAAGCUAAUGUACAUUAACAGAAGACUGGUUAAAUAAAUUGGGACAACCCAAGCAGCAAAUACAUCAUUAAAAUAGUUUUUUUAUAUGUGAAAAAUGCUUAUAGGGCAUUUUAGAAUUCUAUAUUGAAAACAUACACUCAAAUGUAUACAUAUGCAUCCCAAAGUGCCAAUACUGGUUUUCUUAGAAUGGUGGGACAAUGGAUGAUUUUAAUUGUCUUUUUGCUUACGAUCUCUUUUCCGGUUUUCAGUCAAAGAAAUAUGUAUUUCUUAUGUGAUUUUUUCACAUUAAUAAACACUUUUAUAUGCUAAAAAGAUAAUUAUAAAAAUUAAAGGGGCAAACUAGGAAGUCUGUAAAAUCAUGAUUAAGGGUUAAUAUAUUUACUACUUAAAGGACUUAACUGAUUUAUAUGAAAAACACUAAGAUUCUAAUAAUAUAUGUACAAACAAAAGAAUUUUAAAUAUAUUAAAAAAUAGUAUCAAUAAACAAUUAGGUGCAAAAUAAGACAACAUGCUUAUCCUUUUAUUUAAGUGGAAAGGGUUUUAAAAAACACCCGCAAUAUUAAUUAUGAAUAGGCACUCUCAAAUCCCAUGGUAUCAUUUAAUCCAGUAGCUGCACUUCUGAAAUUCUAGCCAAAAGAAAUAUAGCUAACUAUGAAAAAAAUAUUUCUAACAAUGAAAAAGCUUUCAACAGAGUAUGUCCAUCACAAUGUUCCUUGUACAAAGAAAUAAUGAACCCCAAACCUAGAAGCAUCCAAACAUUGGGACUGCUUCAAAAACAUUUCAUCUAUGCUGAGAUAGAAUGAUUUGCUAAACUACAAGGCAUGUGGUGAUGUGAAUAAAUGGUCACUUAGGCAGGUCAAAGUCACAGAAUCGCAAAGGGUUGGUAGGAGUCAUAAGGAACACAUUCAAAAGGAAUGUCAGAGGCUGUUUUAUGUCGUGAAAAUCUCAUUCUUUAGUAGCAAAAGGGGGAUAUUCCAGAUGUGAAAAUGAAAAAAGGGCAUAAAGAUCGAAGAUGAUGAUAUAGACUUUCUUCCAAAAGAGCUGUUGUACCAUUUGCCAUUUCAGUGUCUGCAGACGCUUACAAUAUACUCUGGUGUGUUCCUGACAUUCCUACACGCAGAUCCACACAGAUUUCAAGUAAAUAAAAUCUGUAUACACUUACUGCACUGCAUGAUGCUUUGGGGCCAUUUUUAAGGAAAUAAAUCUGAUUUCUAGCACAAGAACCAAUGAGUAAGACAUAUGGUCACCUUGAAUCCUUUUUGAAAGAAGGCGAAUUAAGUAAGAAUGGAAUCCAUCGGCGUGCUAGAAUUACAGAGGUAAGGGAAACCUACAUGGGGGAGAAGCUCGCAAACAUCAUUAGUUCUCAUUCAUUCAUUUACCGACACAUAUAAGCCAGACACCUGUCACAUACUCAGCACUGACAGAUGUAAACUGGUCAACACAACAUUCCUAGUCCUCGGCUGCCCCGGAGCUUACGUUCCAACGGAGGGGACACAGACCGUAUCCAAAUAAGCAUACGCACGGGGGUGAUUCCUCUUCUCCUACUUCUUUUCCCUCACUUUUCUUGUUUACUAUCAAUCAUUCUCAUGAAAGUUCACUCUAAUAAUAUUCAUUUUAAAUGACAGGACUUUUCUCACAGUUUAAGACAAAUUAGUUAGAUAAAGUGGUCACUAAUUAUCUGGUUCAUGUCCAAUUCAAAUAUCCAGAAGAAAGAACCAGAAAGCUCUCUAUUACCUAAGUUCCAUAAAAAGAUUCCUAGAGAAUAUCAGGACAAUUGUUUUGUCAUUUGCAUAAUGCAGCUAUUAUAUCUUUCCAACUGUCCUGGCUGAUCUCAGCGCUGGCCGGUAAAUAAGGCUACCAUCACUAAGUCUGAACACAUUCAGAGAAUAAAUCAGAAUAAAAACACUGACAACACAGACGUGUGAAUAAUAAUUAUAAUUAACCCCUUCUAAAAGAAAAGGUAUAUGUAAUAGUACAUAGUAGAGUAACAAUUUAACCCAUCUUUUUUUUUUUCCUUUUUUACUCAAAGCAUAAAGCAGAGACAACACUUUAUCCCAGGUUAACAUGCAACUUAAAAA
rnacentral:lncRNA from 1 species